ACGUGGGUGAUGAACUUCAGGGGGUAGUACUGUACUUACAGGUGUUAUUGGGACUUACCUGGUAAUCGAAGGCAUUUCCAGACGGGAAACUGUCUGAGAAA
ensembl:snoRNA snoRNA:Me28S-A30